UGCCAGUGAUAAACUGGAGGAAGGUGGGGAUGACGUCAAGUCAUCAUGGCCCUUACGACCAGGGCUACACACGUGCUACAAUGGCGCAUACAAAGAGAAGCGACCUCGCGAGAGCAAGCGGACCUCAUAAAGUGCGUCGUAGUCCGGAUUGGAGUCUGCAACUCGACUCCAUGAAGUCGGAAUCGCUAGUAAUCGUGGAUCAGAAUGCCACGGUGAAUACGUUCCCGGGCCUUGUACACACCGCCCGUCACACCAUGGGAGUGGGUUGCAAAAGAAGUAGGUAGCUUAACCUUCGGGAGGGCGCUUACCACUUUGUGAUUCAUGACUGGGGUGAAGUCGUAACAAGGUAACCGUAGGGGAACCUGCGGUUGG
rnacentral:rRNA from 1 species